rnacentral:rRNA from 1 species
CCUACGGGUGGCUGCAGUGAGGAAUAUUGGUCAAUGGACGCAAGUCUGAACCAGCAAUGCCGCGUGCAGGAAGACGGUUUUCUGAGUUGUAAACUGCUUUUGUACGAGGGUAAACGCAGAUACGUGUAUCUGGCUGAAAGUAUCGUACCAAUAUGGAUCCGCUCACUCCGUGCCAGCAGCCGCGGGAAUACGGAGGCUUCAAGCGUUAUCCGGAAUUAUUGGGUUGAAAGGGUGCGUAGGCGGUCGGAUAAGUUAUAUGUGAAAUCCCGAGGCUCAACAUCAGAAUUGCCUCUGAUACUGUACAGCUAGAGAGUAGUAGCGGUAGGCGGAAUGUAUGGUGUAGCGGUGAAAUGCGUAGAUAUCAGACAGAACACCGAUUGCGAAGGCAGCUUACCGGGCUACUUCUGACGUUGAGGCACGAAAGCGUGGGGAGCAAACAGGAUUAGAUACCCUAGUAGUC